rnacentral:rRNA from 1 species
GAUGAACGCUAGCGAUAGGCUUAACACAUGCAAGUCGAGGGGCAGCAUGGUCUUAGCUUGCUAAGACUGAUGGCGACCGGCGCACGGGUGCGUAACGCGUAUGCAACUUGCCUCACAGAGGGGGAUAACCCGUCGAAAGACGGACUAAUACCGCGUACACUCCAUCUUGGGCAUCCAAGGUAGAGGAAAUGAAAUUCGCUGUGAGAUAGGCAUGCGUCCCAUUAGCUAGUUGGUGAGGUAACGGCUCACCAAGGCGACGAUGGGUAGGGGAACUGAGAGGUUGAACCCCCACACUGGUACUGAGACACGGACCAGACUACUACGGGAGGCAGCAGUGAGGAAUAUUGGUCAAUGGGCGAGAGCCUGAACCAGCCAAGUCGCGUGAAGGAUGACUGUCUUAUGGAUUGUAAACUUCUUUUAUACGGGAAUAACAAGAGUCACGUGUGACUCCCUGCAUGUACCGUAUGAAUAAGCAUCGGCUAACUCC